CAUAUGACCCCUAACCUCCAUAUGACCCCUAACCUCCAUAUGACCCCUAACCUCCAUAUGACCCUGUUAUCAAUGUUAGUAGUGAUGAUUAAUCUAAAGCUGACCAGGUUUCAAGAGAAAAACUUCUGCCAACAAACUCUGGGCUUUGGCUGAGUUCAGUUCUGUUCAGUCCAGUGUGGCUUCAGUACAGCUGCCCUGUGUAGGGGGGAGGGGGACAGAGGUGUCUAGUCCCUAUGGUGGAGGGAGGAUGGAGGGCAGAGGGGACAGAGGUGUGUCUAGUCCCUACGGUGGAGGGAGGAUGGAGGGCAGAGGGGACAGAGGUGUGUCUAGUCCCUACAGUGGAGGGAGGAUGGAGGGCAGAGGGGACAGAGGUGUGUCUAGUCCCUACGGUGGAGGGAGGAUGGAGGGCAGAGGGGACAGAGGUGUGUCUAGUCCCUACAGUGGAGGGAGGAUGGAGGGCAGAGGGGACAGAGGUGUGUCUAGUCCCUACGGUGGAGGGAGGAUGGAGGGCAGAGGGGACAGAGGUGUGUCUAGUCCCUACAGUGGAGGGAGGAUGGAGGGCAGAGGGGACAGAGGUGUGUCUAGUCCCUACGGUGGAGGGAGGAUGGAGGGCAGAGGGAACAGAGGUGUGUCUAGUCCCUACGGUGGAGGGAGGAUGGAGGGCAGAGGGGACAGAGGUGUGUCUAGUCCCUACGGUGGAGGGAGGAUGGAGGGCAGAGGGAACAGAGGAGUGUCUAGUCCCUACAGUGGAAGGAGGAUGGGAUGGAGGGCAGAAGCCGGGAAGUGGUUCCUCCCCGUCAGGCUUUCCCUUCCCAGGCGUCGUCUCUCUGUUUAGCUGCCAGACGCUUCUGCUCUGAAAGACAGACAGACAGGUUGAUAAGAGAGUAAAUCAAUACUACUACUAGCUGUCAAUACAAUCAUAAAGACAAAGACUAGUUCCACUUGAAAGGAGCAACAUGUAAUAUAUCAGCCUUCAUUUCUUCAGGGUUUUGUGAAAGACACUAAGAGAAGUCCUGAAAGGCCCAGUACUGCCUCUGACCGUAUCACUGUCCAGAACACAUCUGUAGAAAGGACAUGAAGAAACGCAUUGCUAAUGUUUUUGCUAUUGUUGUCAACCUCUUGAACAAGAACUAAUCUUAACACAGGAAGUUGUACAAAACAGUCAGAC
ensembl:lncRNA